rnacentral:rRNA from 1 species
UAGGGAAUCUUCCGCAAUGGGCGAAAGCCUGACGGAGCAACGCCGCGUGAGUGAUGAAGGUCUUCGGAUCGUAAAACUCUGUUAUUAGGGAAGAACAUACGUGUAAGUAACUAUGCACGUCUUGACGGUACCUAAUCAGAAAGCCACGGCUAACUACGUGCCAGCAGCCGCGGUAAUACGUAGGUGGCAAGCGUUAUCCGGAAUUAUUGGGCGUAAAGCGCGCGUAGGCGGUUUUUUAAGUCUGAUGUGAAAGCCCACGGCUCAACCGUGGAGGGUCAUUGGAAACUGGAAAACUUGAGUGCGGAAGAGGAAAGUGGAAUUCCAUGUGUAGCGGUGAAAUGCGCAGAGAUAUGGAGGAACACCAGUGGCGAAGGCGACUUUCUGGUCUGUAACUGACGCUGAUGUGCGAAAGCGUGGGGAUCAAACAGG